rnacentral:rRNA from 1 species
AAAUCUCAACUUUAUUAGACGAGACGCAUUUAUUAGAUAAAAGCCAAUGCAUGCUUUUACGGUAUGAAUGUUGGUGAUUUAUAAUAACUUAGCAAAUCGCAAAGUGAAAACAGGCGAUAAAUCAUUCAAGUUUCUGACCUAUCAGCUUUCGACGGUAUGGUAUUGGCUUACCGUGGCAGUGACGGUUAACGGGGGAUUAGGGUUCGAUUCCGGAGAGGGAGCCUGAGAAACGGCUACCACAUCUAAGGAAGGCAGCAGGCGCGCAAAUUACCCAAUUCUAACAGUUUAAGAGAGGUAGUAACAAGAAAUAACAAUACAAGGCAGUUAAAAUGCUUUGUAAUUGGAAUGAUAGAAAUUUAAACCCUUUUUAAAGUAUCAAUUGGAGGGCAAGUCUGGUGCCAGCAGCCGCGGUAAUUCCAGCUCCAAUAGCGUAUAUUAAAAUUGUUGCAGUUAAAAAGCUCGUAGUUGAAGUUCUGCUAAAAGUAACCGGUCUGCUUUUAAUAAAAGUGGUAUCUUGGUGUGUAUUUAGCAAUGAUGUCCUUUGAAGUGUUUUUUACUUUAUUGUAACAAAGCAUAUUCAGGACUUUUACUUUGAGAAAAUUAGAGUGUUUCUAGCAGGCUGACGCUUUGAAUACUGCAGCAUGAAAAUAAUAAG